rnacentral:lncRNA from 1 species
UUUUCUUAAACCACUGAGAUCGUCAGUUUUGGUCCUGUCCAUCGCUCUAGAAAAAAUUAAAGCACAAAUGAUAAAGAGAACAAUAUCUUUUGGUUUAGUGAUAUUUCUUUUCUUAAUAGAUAUGAAAACAGAUUCAUCGAGUUGGAGUCAGUGAUUACAAAUCACUUGUCCAAAAAUUCGCAAUCCCCAUCGGAACAUAUGUCCGUUGAAUCCCUUUUUUUUUUUCUUUCCUUUUUUCUAACCCUAAUUCUAACUCUUUAUUUUCACAUUUCCAUAGUAUAUGAAUUCAUCAAUCAUCACUCACUCUAGUCUUUUGGUUUAGUGAUAUUUCUUUUCUUAAUAGAUAUGAAAACGGAGUCAUUUGGUUGGUGUCGGGGAUUCCAAUCAUCUUCACAAUCCCCAUCGGAACAUAUGUCUGGUGAAUCCCUGAAUUUUUUUUUUUCUUUUUCUAACCCUACAUUCUAACUCUUUAUUUUCACAUUUCCACUAGUAUAUGAAUUCAUUAAUCAUCACUCUAGUAAUUUACCAUUAAUUGAAACUAUAAAUUUA